UUGAGUCUCGUAGAGGGGGGUAGAAUUCCAGGUGUAGCGGUGAAAUGCGUAGAGAUCUGGAGGAAUACCGGUGGCGAAGGCGGCCCCCUGGACGAAGACUGACGCUCAGGUGCGAAAGCGUGGGGAGCAAACAGGAUUAGAUACCCUGGUAGUCCACGCCGUAAACGAUGUCGACUUGGAGGUUGUGCCCUUGAGGCGUGGCUUCCGGAGCUAACGCGUUAAGUCGACCGCCUGGGGAGUACGGCCGCAAGGUUAAAACUCAAAUGAAUUGACGGGGGCCCGCACAAGCGGUGGAGCAUGUGGUUUAAUUCGAUGCAACGCGAAGAACCUUACCUGGUCUUGACAUCCACGGAAGUUUUCAGAGAUGAGAAUGUGCCUUCGGGAACCGUGAGACAGGUGCUGCAUGGCUGUCGUCAGCUCGUGUUGUGAAAUGUUGGGUUAAGUCCCGCAACGAGCGCAACCCUUAU
rnacentral:rRNA from 1 species